UGUUAAAUGUGAUAGUGUAGGUGACGAGACAUAUAUAGGUAUACAUAAUGAGAAUAAUAUGAGUUCCGAUGUUAUUAACAGCUGUGACAAUGUUAGCAACAAUAUUAGAGACAAUAUUGGCGACAAUAUGAAUAUUUCUGAUAAGUCUAAGACGAAAAACCUUUUACCAGCUGAUGAUGAUGCCAAAAGCAUAAAAUCUAACGACAGUGAUUGUUCUGAUGUAAGUUCCUUAAGUAGUAAACAGUCUUCGUUUUUGUCUUUUUUUUCCAAAAUCCAUAAGUCAUGUAGCAGUAAUAGCAAAAAAGGGAGAAAAAGCAAAAUAGAAAAAUUAGCAUCAAAUGAAUCGAUGAAUCGAAAUACAAAAAUUUACGACUUCUUUUCAUUUAAAAAGAAUGAUAAUGAACAACAAAAAAAAAAAAGAGAUACGGAAUGUCUUAGUGAUAUAGAAGUUUCGGAAUCGAAAAGGCAAAAAAGGGACCCAUUGGGUGGUAAAAAUGGUGAUGGCAACAGCGCCAAUGACAGCUUGUUCGAUCCUCAUAACGAUGCAAACGAUUUAAAAAAUAAACAAGAUAACACGAAAGAGCAAGGAGACAUAAAUACAAAUGGUUUAAUAAAAAUUACACAUAAUGAUGAAAAAUUAAAAUGCAGCGUGAAUAAUAAUGGCAAUAAUAGUGGCAAUAAUAAUGGUAAAGGUAAGGGUUUGGAAUGUACCUAUAACAAUUAUAUGGAUGAUGAAAAGUUGAACGAAAAAAGUACAAAGGUCGUAGGUGAGGCACAGGAGCUAAGCAGAUCAAACGAAGAAAACACGCAAAAACAAAAACACAUUUCUGAUGAGAAUAAACAAACUAAACUAAGUAGUAUACAUGGUAAUAGUGUUACUUCGAUUGACAAGAACAUUGAUAAUAAUAACGAGAAAGAAAAAAAUAUGAAUAGUAAUAAAAACAUAAAUACAAAUAGUGACUCUUUAGACCCAUCCGACUCGUCCGAUUCGUGUAACUCAUCCAUAUUCUCGGAUUGUUCUACAGUGUCAAAAAAGGAAAGCAAUACGAUAUAUACAAAAUAUGAAAAAAAAAAAAAAAAAAAACCAGAAGCAUUAACAGAACUAGAAAAAAAAAAUAAACUAAAAAAAAUGAUUUUGAUAAAACCUAAUAUAAUUAAUGGAUAUGAUAAUUUACAUAUAAAAUGUAAUGUUUGUUUAAAGAAUACAGGUAUUUUUAUAAAAUGUAAUAAUAUACAGUGUGAUCACUAUAUACACCCCUAUUGUGCAUUUAUGUGUGGGCUAUAUAUAAAAUGUAAAAUAUAUGAAGAUCAGUUUAUAAUAUUUAAGGGCAAAUUAGAUAACUGUUUUUUGCGACUGUUUUUUUUUAUAUAUUGUAUUUCACAUUCAGUAAAAAAAUGUGGAGCUAAUAAUAUUUAUGAACAGAUUAUAAAAAGAAGAACAAAAUAUCUGAAUAGGGAUUUAUAUCCAAAUAUAUUUGAAAAUAAUAAAAAAGAGAGAAAGCAAAAAAAUGCGUUAAAAUAUAAAAUACGUAAUAAUUCGAAUAUGUUUAACAAUAGUACCACUAUUGCUACUGGAAUAGCUAACAACAGUCGUAAUCGUUUUGGAAAUGCUAUUACUGGUGUAACAACCAAUACAGGUAGUACAAAUAACCAAAACACAUUUGAUAACAACAAUAUGAUUAAUAUAGCUAAUAGAAGUGACGUUUUUGAAUUUUUAGCUCAGAAUUAUAAUUAUUUACAAAUAUAUCAAUAUAACUAUUAUCUUCAACCUGCCGUUGAUCAACUCAAAAAUAAUAUUUGUUCUGUUUGUUUUACUUCAUAUAAUAAGGAUACAGAUUUGUUUUAUUGUAAGUAUUGCAAUUUAUGCGUUCA
rnacentral:lncRNA from 1 species